GAUGAACGCUGGCGGCGUGCCUAAUACAUGCAAGUCGAGCGAACAGACGAUGAGCUUGCUCCUUUGACGUUAGCGGCGGACGGGUGAGUAACACGUGGAUCACCUACCUAUUAGACUGGGAUAACUUCGGGAAACCGCUGCCACUACCAGCUCAUAUAUUCUACCGCAUGGAUCAAUAGUUAAUCACGGUUUUGCCGUCACUUAUAGCCGGUUCCGCGCCGGAUUAGCUAGUUGGUAAGGUAACGGCUUACCAAGGCAACGAUGCGUAGCCGACCUGAGAGGGUGAUCAGCCACACUGGAACUGAGACACGGUCCAGACUCCUACGGGAGGCAGCAGUAGGGAAUAUUGGACAAUGGGCGAAAGCCUGACGGAGCAACACCGCGUGAGUGAUGAAGGUCUUCGGGUCGUAAAGCUCUGUUAUUAGGAAAGAACAGAUGUAUAAGUAACUAUGGACGUCUUGACGGUACCUAAUGAGAAAGCAACGGCUAACUACGUG
rnacentral:rRNA from 1 species